rnacentral:pre_miRNA from 1 species
AGACCAAUUGUUGGAGCAUAUGGUAAGAGUAUGUUUAGUUUAUUUGCCAAACUGUCUUCUAAAACUGCUGUACCAUUUGCAUUCUUUCCAGCAAU